ensembl:lncRNA
UUGUAUUAUUGGGAGAUGCUCAGUGGUUCUACAGUUGCUUUAUCUGGAAGGUUUGUAGCUUGCUGGUGUUUCUUCCUGGACAGUACCUAUGGCUACAUGGGUGAGCUGAAACUAGGAGCAACUAGCAGCUAGGUUAUCUGUGACUGGUUUCUUGGGACACUUUCUGCUGUUGCAGUAAGGUAGGUGAUUUACAACGCUGGCAAUGGGACAGCCAAUAUCUUUGCCUCUAUCUCAUGCCCCUCAGGUAUGAGUUCCACACCAUCAGUAGCUGUCUGGAGGGUGCUGAAAGGAUGACAGGAUCUAGUUAUGAACAAGUCCCACAACUAAUCUCACUCUGUAGGCAGUGAAGGCAAGUCACAGCUCUGUCUUCCCGGGAAAAGUUUACUUAGUAUUUCUGCCCUAUGAUAUUUCAAAUAGAACUUCAGAUAGAGCUGUCAUCCUGUGCCAUGGGUGGGCAAAAUGGGAUCUUUAGAUGUAGUUGAACAAAAACACCAUUAUCAAGCUUUCAUUAAACUUAUCUUGUGUGUUCUGCUAAUGAGCUUUAUGUCAGUUGAUGCCUAAAGGUUUCCCAUAGAUUACAAGUUGGGCAUUUAAAGGUCUUUGAUAGCAAAAGCAUGUGCACGUACGGUGAACUCUUAUCCCAAGGAACAAAUUGAGUCAGGACACUUGGCUGCAGACUGAGGAAAGCUGACUUCAGCUCUCUCACUUCUCAUUGCUGGUUCCCAAAGCCUUGAAUUAAGAGGAUGGAAAAUGAUGGAGAGUUGCAGGUGGUCUCAGUAGUGCUUAACAUAGUCAUUUUUUUGAGGAGGGGUUUCAGUUUAAAUGCAUGGAUGGUAAUUCUACCAGUGAUUGUUGCUUGAAUAGAGGAUAACUUAAAACAAGGAAAGAACUUUGGGAAAGCAGAGGAAGAUGAACAUGACUUGGAGGCAUAAUGACUUUUUAGGGUGUGCUAGAGAAGCAAAAUACAGUUUACUUUCUUAUUGUCUCCCCACGCUCAGAUAACUCUUAAUUCUCACUGUUAGGAGUAAAUGUCCUCUACAGUGUUGCUGUAUUUGAUGAGGCUCAUUGACACAGUUUCUGUAAUUUCAAAUGGUAAACAGUAACUUUUUUUUUUUGCAACAACACUUGAUAAGAAUCUGAUAUUCAUGUCACAGUAUUGUACGUUCUUGGAUUACUUGUAUUAAAAAAACCUUACUUUUGGAAUCCCUUUCUUGGAAGGUUUGCUCUGUAACUUAAGAUAAACUGGAAUAUUUUAAUGAGUGAAGUCAUUCCAAUGUUUUACAGAAUUCAGCGUGUCAGGUAAUAUUGAUAAGGAAAAGUAAAGUUUGUCACGUUCUAUUACUUCUAUGGUGUAUGCCUGUAAAAAAUAACUUACUUUCUUUACCUUAAGCAAAUUACUGUCGCUUCUUUUCCAGAAAUGUUUCAUUUUACACUAAAGAAAGGUAAGUUAGAAAGCCGUGUUUGAAUCGAAUGUAGCAAUGUGUUUAAUAGUACUAAAAUGCAAUUUGGUAUUUGAAUUACUAAAACAUAUUGUUUGGUGCAGUUCAUCAGUAUGAUUGUAGCAAUACUGUGUGCAAGAGUCCUUUGUUCUAAAAAAGUUUUAAUUGGCAUUGUUUUCCUUGUUUCCUUGUUUUUCUUUUCAUGAGAAGCAAAAAUGUGCCAACUUCAUGAUUCAAGUCUGACACUGUAAGCACAAGAGCAUAAGAUAAUGUGGUUUGUUAAUGUCACCCUUUGGUUGCAGCUUAUGCUCGUGGUAAUGCUGGAAAAAAAAAUGCCCUUCUUGUUUUCUCUGCCUUUGGUUCUUCUUCUCACUCUAAUCUCUCUUCUGCCUUAUGGCUUUAGAGUUUCCAGUCUGUGUUAGGUUUCCAUUCUUCCACAAGAAGCCCAUUCUGGACUUUCCCAGGUCACAUUUCCCUAGCUGACUAGUUCAUUUCUCUCUUUAAAGUGAAGUCAGGAGUGUUUUCAUGUAAGUUUUGUAGGAUUUUAAUAAAAAGUAUAUUUUGACAAGGACGUUGUCUUGCAGAAGUGCUAAUGAAACCUGUAGUUACUGGUUGAUGUUUAAAUAGCGCAGCUUUUUCUUUAACUACAUUCAGCCUUUUUCUAAACAUUUUUUUUAUAUUUCGUUUCCAUUAUGCACUCUUGCUAUUGACUGUCAUUCAAAACUGACUUUGAUCAUGAAGAGAAAGUGCAAUGUGGUUUUGCUGUGCAUGUUCAGGUAUGCAAUAGAGGCAGAGCUGCUUAUGUGUGGUGAGAUUUGUCCAUUCCUUUCCAUAUGAUGCUCUCUUCCUUCCCUGUGCUUUAGCUGGUUUGUAGCUUGGCUCGCUCUUCAUCAAUGAAGCCAAGAUUUUUGUGUUGGAGAGGUGAUAAAAACUUGUGAUGUGAUCCUUUGGUCUCCUCUCUUAGGAGAAGAAUCAGUCUGCCUGUAACAUACUUCAGGCCUCUACACAGAGUGGCAGGUAGCCGCAGAGGAUUGAGGACUUUCUUCCUUUUCCUGUUCCUUCAAGGCAGUAGAAGGGGUUUGUCUUUCUACAGGUAUUCUACAAACAGAAUUGAAAGCACGUGAGAAAAGGCAAUGUGGUCAUCAUUUCAUCAUUGGAUGGGGAGUGGGCUACUGGAAUGCUAGCCCUUGCAAUCCUAUCUCAGAGAGAUCUGAACGCCGUCUUACUGAUCUGAGGCACCAAAAGGACCAGCUUCUGGGCACUGAGAGUUGUGUAUCUGUUACGUGUUGGAAUGGUGUGACUGUAAGAUUAAGUCCCUGUCUGCUACUGGCUGGUCUUCAACAUCUUCAGAGAUGAUUCCAGGGGAUCGCUGGCUAUCUGCAUGUUUCCUUGUCAUCUCAAACAAGGGAUAAUGCUCUCCUGGGAACAGUUUCACCUCGAAGAGACAGGCAGCUCCUCAAAACAAUAUGGUUAAUCUUCAAGAAUUUGUCUGCCAGCUGUCUUCCAGGAAGCAGAAUCAAGGAAUGGCCUGGUUAUCAAGGGUGGCUGGCUGGAGACCUCCUCUGCCUUCUCCUCUACCAUUGUCACUCUUGCUAUGAUUUACUUAAGGUAUGUUCUGAACCAGUGGAACAAAUGUUCUGUGCUCUCAAAGGCAAAAACUGCCUUGGAAACCAAAGUCAAACCCAAAGAAGGGAAGUGAUGGCCACUCAUUUUGUUACAAACCUCCACCUCAUUUCUGGAGUCCUGUCUGAGAUUUUCAAAUAUAUGGACUUUACAGGACAAAACAGAGGGGAAUGGCAGAGAGGAACAGCUGAGAACAAGGACUGGCAUUCUUCAUUGCUGCGAGAUCUACGCCUUGGACUCAGAAUCACUGGCCAUAUUUUAUCUUGUCUCAGUGCUGCAUCUUCUGACAUACCACCAGUGCCUCAGUCCUGUCAGAGCUUCCUUCAGCUGCACGGUCAUUAGCUGUAAUCUCUUUUACUGACUCUUAUACUACUUUGCAAUGUCAUGUUUUACAUACCUCUUGCUGAA